rnacentral:rRNA from 1 species
CCCUUAGAUGUCCGGGGCCGCACGCGCGCUACACUGAAGGAAUCAGCGUGGCUUUCUCCCUGACCCGAAAGGGUUGGGAAACCCGUUGAAUCUCCUUCGUGAUAGGGAUUGGGGCUUGAAAUUGUUCCCCAUGAACGAGGAAUUCCCAGUAAGCGCGAGUCAUAAGCUCGCGUUGAUUACGUCCCUGCCCUUUGUACACACCGCCCGUCGCACCUACCGAUUGAACGUUCCGGUGAGACCUUGGGAUUUUGGUUUAUUUGAUUUAUUUCAGAUUUACUAGAAGAACUUGAGCAAACCUUAACGUUUAGAGGAAGGUGAAGUCGUAACA